CAUCAUACUGAAACACCAGUUCUCGUAUGAUCACCAAAGUUAAGCAACAUUGAGACUGGUCAAUACCUGGAUGGGUGACUACUUAGAAAUACCAGAUGCUGUAAG